rnacentral:misc_RNA from 1 species
UCCGGUUUGGCACCGGCAGUCUCCCUAGAGUCCCCGCCAUAACGCGCUGGCAACAUAGGAUAAGGGUUGCGCUCGUUGCGGGACUUAACCCAACAUCUCACGACACGAGCUGACGACAGCUAUGCACCACCUAUCACAGGCCCCGAAGGACACCGUAUCUCUACGGCUUUUCCUGCAUAGUUCAACCCAGGUAAGGUUCUUCGCGUUGCAUCGAAUUAAGCCACAUGCUCCGCCGCUUGUGCGGGCCCCCGUCAAUUCCUUUGAGUUUUAGCCUUGCGGCCGUACUCCCCAGGCGGAGUGCUUAAUGCGUUAACUGCGACGCCGCAGGGGUCAAUACCCGCGACAUCUAGCACUCAUCGUUUACGGCGUGGACUAC